CCCUUAGAUGUCCUGGGCCGCACGCGCGCUACACUGAUGCAUUCAACGAGUAUUUCCUUGGCCGAGAGGCCUGGGCAAUCUUUUAAACCUGCAUCGUGAUAGGGAUAGAUUAUUGCAAUUAUUAAUCUUGAACGAGGAAUUCCUAGUAAACGCAAAUCAUCAAUUUGCAUUGAUUACGUCCCUGCCCUUUGUACACACCGCCCGUCGCACCUUCCGAUUGAAUGGUCCGGUGAAAUCUCGGGAUUGUGGCCAGUUCACUUUAUUGGGAGUUGGCUGCGAGAACUUGCUUAAACCUUAUCAUUUAGAGGAAGGUGAAGUCGUAACA
rnacentral:rRNA from 1 species